UACAAUUCAUCAACAUUGGAAACUUAAAUUUCAAGUUUUGCAUCACAAGUUCUCAACAGGAUAUCUGUACAACAUCAUUUCAUUUUAUAUACUUCAGCAAGAUGAUAAUGAGCAUGAUUUGAGGAGGGAAGUUAAAACAUAAAUAUGCUUAUUAUCAAGCUUACACUAAUUACUAUUUGAGGUGUAUUAGUAACUCUAAUCUAACUUUUUCUAACCAUAACUCUAACCCUAACACUAUCUAGAUAUGUAUAUAAACUUAUUUUUACUAAUUUUUAUUUAUUUUGUGAAUUUCUAUUAACCCUAACCCUAUAUAUUUUAUAAUUAAUAGCCACGGCAUUUCACCGUGGCUAAUAAUUUGAAAUAUCAGUGGCUAAUUUUAUUGUCACAAUUAAUUAGCCACGGCUUUUCCAAAUGCGUGGCAAAAUAUGAAUAAAAAUGGAGAAAACUUUUCGCCAGAAAUUUAGCCACUGAUUUUUCCAUCCGUGGCUAAAUUUUCAAAAUAGCCAAGGGCUUAGUCACGGAUAAAAAAGUCGUGGCUAAUAUUCAACAAUCAGCCCCGUGGGCGUAGCCCUGUUUUCUUGUAGUGCCUCAUCCUGAUUUCAGUGUGGGUUCUAUGACCCAUUAAGCUUGGUGUAAUGUUCAGGUCUGGGAUCCAAGACUGACACGAUGAUGUAAAGGAUUCUUCACAAUAAGCUUCAUUUAGAUCCGGUAAGUAUGGAAUUGAUAUUUUCCUCUUCCUGAUUUCAGUUAGGGUUCUAUGAUCCAUUAAGCUUGGUGUAAUGUUCAGGUUUGGGAUCCAAGGCUGACACGAUGAUGUGAAGGAUUCUUCACAAUAAGUUUUAUUUAGAUCCGGUAAGUAUGUAAUUGAUAUUUUCCUUUUCCUGAUUUCAGUCAGGGCUUUAUAAUCCAUUAAGCUUGGUGUAAUGUUCAGGUCUAGGAUCCAAGGCUGACACGAUGAUGUAAAGGAUUCUUCACAAUAAGCUUCAUUUAGAUCCGGUAAGUAUGGAAUUGAUAUUUUCCUCUUCCUGAUUUCAUUUAGGGUUCUAUGAUCUAUUAAGCUUGGUCUGAUGUUCAGGUCUGGGAUCCAAGGCUGACACGAUGAUGUAAAGGAUUUUUCAUAAUAAGCUUGAUUUAGAUCCGGUAAGUAUGGAAUUGAUAUUUUCCUCUUCCUGAUUUCAUUUAGGGUUCUAUGAUCUAUUAAGCUUGGUGUAAUGUUCAGGUCUAGGAUCCAAUACCACAAAUAGUUUAUCAAUGAAUGACGAUCUGAGUUUUUGCACUCAAUGGUUUGGUGUCCAAAAGAUUUGCAUGCCGUGCACGUCGGAGGAUGCACUGGAUAUGACAAUUUUAUCUCUUUUAUUUGAUUCUUGUCGUGGUCGUUUAUGAUAGUAACUGUAGUUGGAUAUAUAAAUUACGAGUCAAUGAUGAGGCCAACCAUACACUCCAAACCCUCGUCAAAGAUUUUGUAGUGAUCGUCUAUUGAGAAUCCGAUGGCGCUGACUAUCUUUGAGAUUAUCUCUUUUUUCCAGAAUUCGCGUUUCAUAUUUGGGACGGUGAUCCAGAGUGGAAUUUUUUUCAAAAUCAUAUCUGAUAAGUCCAUAGAGGGCGACCACGGUUUGAUAUGGAUCAGCUUUGCUCUACACCAGUUCCAUUCUUUUUCGAUCACACGGAAGUAGUCCGAUUGGGAUUUGAAUAUCAAUUUGUAUACGUACUUACUCACACGACUAAUUACAAAGUUUGAGGUUGUCUUCCAAGCGAGCUCAAUAGCUAAUUUCUUUAUAAGUCUUGUGGACAGAAAGUUAGAGAAAAAUUGGAGACGAACAACAAAAGCAUUGCCCGAGUCUUCCUCAAUCUUAACAUUCUUAGCAUAGAAAAUGUUGUUCUUUAAAAUCAGGGAAUUGAUCAAAGAUGACUCCAUAAUUUUGUUUUCAUUACUUAAAUUCUCAAAGACUAUUUAAUAAACAAACAAACAAAAGAAUUACAAACAAAAAAAUGAUUGUUAUGAAUAAGUGGUGGAAAUCUAAAUAAAACGUUUUAAAUUAUGAGGUUGAGAGAGCUUGAGUGUUCUUAGACGUCGUUUGUUUAAAAAAAAUAGAUAUUUAGAUAGAGCAGAACGGUUAUAACAGUUGAAAAAAACGUGCCCAGCGUAAAAUCUUAACUCUAGGCUCUUGGGCGUCAAACGAGCCGAGCUUUUGCUUAUAGAGCCAGGCUCGGGCUCAGCUCGUUAAGGAGUUAUCUAGGCACGUUUGGGCUCGGCUCAUUUUAAGAAUUGUCAGGCUCGGGCUCGAAGCUCGCGAGCCUGGGCUCGAACUUAACCUGUAGGUUAAAAUAAAUUAUUUGAAGACAUGGAGGAUCGAACCCGUGACCUUUCACAUGGUAAGAAAAUCUUUUUCCAUCUAUGCUACAUCUUCAUUCUAUCUAAAUAGAAUACAUUUUAUUUUUUUAUACUUCUUACCGAGCCCAUCGAGCUUAACGAGCCUGAGCUUUAGGCUCGGGCUCGACUCGCUCGGGCACUACAUAAAAACAAAAAAAUGACAUAUGGAAAAAAAUAACAUAUGGAAAAAAUGACAAAUCAAUAAAUAAUUCAUACCAAAAACUUAACGAGGAGAUUUUCCAUGUCCUCUUCUUUCCAUGAAAUCCAUUUAGUUAAAGGUGACGUUAUGUUACCUUUUACUAAUAUUCCGAUUUGACUUCUUACCUUGUUGGUAAAAGUCUAAUAAAAACAAUGAAAUUAAAUAAUAUAAUAUAAUUAAUUAAUUAUAAUAAAAGCACUCACCCGCUCUAGCUUAACAAUAGUGGCGGGCUUAACAAUAGUAGCGGGAGUUGGUGCAUCUGGUUGCCUCAAUCUCUUAGUCCACUUUCUUCGAUGUUCUUCAUCGAACUGGUACCCUAAAUUUUUUUGCUCUAUUGGUUCUGGUCGUUUUGGUCUAAAAUUUAUUGCUCUAUAGAACCAAACUUAGAUCUUUAUGGUUGAGCUCAAAAACUUUCUCUCAUACUUUGGUGAUAUUGACACAAACCUCUCAAGCAAAGUGGACACACACAAGAGAUGAUUAGAGAAGUGGAAUAUUAAACACACAAAACUUCUUACUUGUAAAGAUGAACAAGAGGAUUAGAAGUAGAAGUUGGAAAGCUUUUGAAGCUUUGCAAAGCUAGAACACUUGAGAAUUUUUGGAAGCUCUUUGAAAUGCUUUAGGUGUGGUGAACGAAAAUGAGAGUGUUACCCUUUCAUUUAUAGCCUUGGUCAUCACUUGUCCACCCUUGGAUCUUCAAUGGAUGGUUUUUUGAUUCCUCACAUGAUUCCA
rnacentral:lncRNA from 1 species